ACCACCACAGAACCGGAGUCCAGAGAUCAUCAAGUAAGGAACUGCAACAGCUAAAAGGAAAAAAGCUUCACUGAAGUCUAGAGAAACUUGUGUCUUAGGGAAGACACUGCUCACUUGGGAGCUUUGAUGGCCCAUACUUGAAUUGACUGGGGAAAAAAUCAGGAGGAUCCUGACAUAAAAUAGCAGUCCUCAGAAAAAAAAAGGAUUAAACCCUGUUACUUAUCACACAUGGAUGGAAAUUAAUGAUACUGUUCAGUGAAAUGAUACAGAAAGAAGACAAAUGUCUCUGAAUCUCCCUGAUAUCUGGAAUUCAAGAAAAUUGACCUCGCAGAAGUUGAGAGUGGAACAGCAGCCUCCAGGGACUGGAAGAAUAAACAUGCAGGAGGCCUGGGAAAACAUGGUCACUGACUUACAGUUAAGGAGCAGUUUUCGGUGUGAGUCUCCUGUCACCUGGAUAGCAUGGACAUCCGUAAACCCACAUAACAUGGAGGUGAUGAAUGGAACCGCUAAAUAAAAUAAUGAAAGCUUUUUAUUCAUA